AGAAUCGAUUUCCACAAAGUUCU
rnacentral:snRNA from 1 species